rnacentral:rRNA from 1 species
ACCUACGGGGGGCAGCAGUGGGGAAUAUUGCACAAUGGGGGAAACCCUGAUGCAGCGACGCCGCGUGAGUGAAGAAGUAUUUCGGUAUGUGAAGCUCUAUCAGCAGGGAAGAAAAUGACGGUACCUGACUAAGAAGCCCCGGCUAACUACGUGCCAGCAGCCGCGGUAAUACGUAGGGGGCAAGCGUUAUCCGGAUUUACUGGGUGUAAAGGGAGCGUAGACGGCGCGGCAAGUCUGAAGUGAAAGGCAGGGGCUUAACCCCUGAACUGCUUUGGAAACUGCCAUGCUAGAGUGCUGGAGAGGUA